AUGCAGAUACAGCAGGCAGGGGUUCCCCAAACUUAUUUGACCACAGGAAAGCCCCAUUUUAAAAAUGCGGAAGUAGUGUUUCCCAACAUACAUGGGAAAUAUUAUUUCAGAAGCAAAGCCAGAGAGUGCCUUGGAGCAAAGGUCAGGAGUCUGGAGACAACAGGAAUUGGGGAAGUGGAGGCCAGUGGGCUCCACAGUCAGGAAGUCUGGAGAGUGUUGGAACCCUCAGGGACCAGCUCCGUGCUACAGGACUCCCCAGGUCUUCUGUAUGCUGCUGUUCGCUGUGACUUUCCAAAAGGGCCUGUGUAGCUCGUGGCUUCUUGCUUAUUCGAUCACAGGAACAAGGUUCCUGCCCCGCCCCCCAGCCAGGAGGAUCCAGAAGUAUAACUGAGUUGGGGAAAUGCUAACCUAAAUGAUUUUAUUUCAGUGUGUUUUUUAGUGUAAGCAAGUCAUUGUCAGUAGUCGUGUUUUCAGUGGUCUGGAAACUCGAAGGGAAUUAAUCAGAAGGAAGUUAGAGGGGACUUCAUUUAAAGAAUCACAUCCUUCAGCCAUGUGGGUUCUAAGCCCCCUCUGGAUUUAGAGGUGGAGUGGACAUCGCCCUCCGAGGGUCCACAGGAUGGAGGGUAUAAUAUGGGUUGGAGUGGACUUGCUGGUAUUCUACUAUAGAACUGUUGUGACUCCAGCAAUGGGAGAAAUUGUAGCAUUGAUGUGGAGACGGUGGCCACAGGAAUUGCUGAGGGCAGGGAGAGGGAAGAAGAGGUGUGAUAUCGGGCAUUUUCGGGGCUCGGAGUUGUCCUGAACGAUAUCGCAUGGACAGAUGCAGGACGUCGUUUAUCCUGCCGUAACACACUGAAUGGACAGGGGAGAGUUUGAACUAAAAUGUAAACUAUGCUCCAUGCGGUGUGGCAGUGCUCCAG
rnacentral:lncRNA from 1 species